UUUACCAGAACCAGUGGCCAAUGGUGAUGUGGAAAAGGGGAACCUUAGAGAUGAACAAUCAGAGAUUAAUCCUGAAAGCCCUUCUAGCCCUAUGACCGUGUCUCCUUCUUCAACUCUAAGUGAACCUUCCAUUGAGCUGUAUUCUCACGAGAAGGAGGAGAAGCUCAGCACCACAUCCAGUCCCAUUCUUGACUGGGACAUUCCCCUGGCAGUAGCCAAAGAGCGUGCCCAUCAGAAACGUACCAGCAAACGGGCACCACAAAUGGACUGGAGCAAGAAAAACGAACUCUUUAGCAACCUGUGAAGCAACCCAACCCCCCCAAGCAGGGAGGUGAUACACAAAUGGCUUUGCAGCCUCAACAGAUGUGAAGAUUGCUGAACCAGAGAGAUCCUUCAAUUUGGAAGAUUUGGGAAGAUCCGUUUUCCUCACCCCUGCUGUCAAGUAUGGAUCUGUGGAAUUAUGUGAUCUGAAAUUAUGGAUUGCAAAUCUCCAGAACAUUGUCAGUUCAUCAGUACAGAUUCUGGAAAUACUAUGCAUCUGAUGCAAUGAGCACAAAAUUAU